AUUGGUGCCUUCGGGAACUCGUGAGACAGGUGCUGCAUGGCUGUCGUCAGCUCGUGUUGUGAAAUGUUGGGUUAAGUCCCGCAACGAGCGCAACCCUUAUCCUUUGUUGCCAGCGGUUAGGCCGGGAACUCAAAGGAGACUGCCAGUGAUAAACUGGAGGAAGGUGGGGAUGACGUCAAGUCAUCAUGGCCCUUACGAGUAGGGCUACACACGUGCUACAAUGGCGCAUACAAAGAGAAGCGACCUCGCGAGAGCAAGCGGACCUCAUAAAGUGCGUCGUAGUCCGGAUUGGAGUCUGCAACUCGACUCCAUGAAGUCGGAAUCGCUAGUAAUCGUAGAUCAGAAUGCUACGGUGAAUACGUUCCCGGGCCUUGUACACACCGCCCGUCACACCAUGGGAGUGGGUUGCAAAAGAAGUAGGUAGCUUAACCUUCGGGAGGGCGCUUACCACUUUGUGAUUCAUGACUGGGGUGAAGUCGUAACAAGGUAAGCGUAGUGCU
rnacentral:rRNA from 1 species